AGACUGAUGUGGUGGAAGCGGA
rnacentral:siRNA from 1 species